rnacentral:rRNA from 1 species
AGUGAACGCUGGCGGUAGGCCUAACACAUGCCAGUCGAACGGCAGCACAGUAAGAGCUUGCUCUUACGGGUGGCGAGUGGCGGACGGGUGAGGAAUACAUCGGAAUCUACUUUUUCGUGGGGGAUAACGUAGGGAAACUUACGCUAAUACCGCAUACGACCUACGAGUGAAAGCAGGGGAUCUUCGGACCUUGCGCGAAUGAAUGAGCCGAUGUCGGAUUAGCUAGUUGGCGGGGUAAAGGCCCACCAAGGCGACGAACCGUAGCUGGUCUGAGAGGAUGAUCAGCCACACUGGAACUGAGACACGGUCCAGACUCCUACGGGAGGCAGCAGUGGGGAAUAUUGGACAAUGGGCGCAAGCCUGAUCCAGCCAUACCGCGUGGGUGAAGAAGGCCUUCGGGUUGUAAAGCCCUUUUGUUGGGAAAGAAAAGCAGCAGGUUAAUACCCCGCUGUUCUGACGGUACCCAAAGAAUAAGCACCGGCUAACUUCGUG